GACGAACGCUGGCGGCGUGCUUAACACAUGCAAGUCGAACGAUGAAGCCGGAGCUUGCUCCGGUGGAUUAGUGGCGAACGGGUGAGUAACACGUGAGCAAUCUGCCCUUGACUCUGGGAUAACUGCGGGAAACUGUAGCUAAUACCGGAUACGACACCUUGGGGCAUCCCAGGGUGUGGAAAGAAUUUCGGUCAAGGAUGAGCUCGCGGCCUACCAGCUAGUUGGUGAGGUAAUGGCUCACCAAGGCGACGACGGGUAGCCGGCCUGAGAGGGUGACCGGCCACACUGGAACUGAGACACGGUCCAGACUCCUACGGGAGACAGCAGUGGGGAAUAUUGCACAAUGGGCGAAAGCCUGAUGCAGCAACGCCGCGUGAGGGAUGAAGGCCUUCGGGUUGUAAACCUCUUUUAGCAGGGAAGAAGCGAAAGUGACGGUACCUGCAGAAAAAGCACCGGCUAACUACGUGCCAGCAGCCGCGGUAA
rnacentral:rRNA from 1 species